UAUUUCAUACGGCCUAGUUCCGGGGCAACCCGGAAGCGGGGGAACCAAUCUUUUGGGGUUAAUCCUGAGCAAUCAGGAGGGAUGAGAUAAGUCUUCUCUGCCAUCCUACCCGUCAGCUAACCUCGUCGGCCAAAGCAGGGAAGGUUC
rnacentral:sRNA from 1 species